rnacentral:rRNA from 1 species
GAUGAACGCUGGCGGCGUGCCUAAUACAUGCAAGUCGAGCGAACAGACGAGGAGCUUGCUCCUCUGACGUUUGCGGCGGACGGGUGAGUCACACGUGGAUAACCUACCUAUAAGACUGGGAUAACUUCGGGAAACCGGCGCUAAUCCCGGAUAAUAUCUUGAACCGCAUUGUUCAAUAGUGAAAGUCGGUUUUUCUGUCACUUAUAGAUGGAUCCGCGCCGCAUUAGCUAGUUGGUAAGGUCACGGCUUACCAAGGCAACGAUGCGUAGCCGACCGCAGAGGGGGGUCGGCCACACUAGAACGGAGACAGCGUCAAUGGUACUACGAGACGCAGCAGUAGGGAAUCGGACGCAAUGGGGGGAAGCCUGACGGAGCAAGGGCGCGUGAGUGAUGAAAGUCUUCGGAUCGUAAAACCCUGUUAUUGGGGAAGAACAAAUGUGUAAGUAACUAUGCACGUCUUGACGGUACCUAAUCAGAAAGCAACGGCUAACUACGUG